GUCGAACGCUGGCGGCGUGCUUAACACAUGCAAGUCGAACGGAAAGGCCUCUUUCGGGGUGUCCGCGAGUGGCGAACGGGUGAGUAACACGUGAGUAACCUGCCCUUGACUUUGGGAUAACUUCAGGAAACUGGGGCUAAUACCGGAGAGGAGCUCCUGCUGCAUGGUGGGGGUUGGAAAGUUUCGGCGGUUGGGGAUGGACUCGCGGCUUAUCAGCUUGUUGGUGGGGUAGUGGCUUACCAAGGCUGUGACGGGUAGCCGGCCUGAGAGGGUGACCGGCCACAUUGGGACUGAGGGGCGGCCCAGACUCCUACGGGUGGCAGCAGGGGGGAAUAUUGCACAAUGGGUGGCGGCCUGGUGCAGCAACGCCGUGGGCGGGAUGGCGGCCUUGGGGUUGUAGACCGCGUUCGCUCGUGACGAAGCGUUGUGUGACGGUAGUGGGUAAAGAAGCACCGGCUAACUACGUG
rnacentral:rRNA from 1 species